rnacentral:rRNA from 1 species
CCUACGGGAGGCAGCAGUGAGGAAUAUUGGUCAAUGGACGAGAGUCUGAACCAGCCAAGUAGCGUGAAGGAUGACUGCCCUCUGGGUUGUAAACUUCUUUUAUAUGGGAAUAAAAUGUUCCACGUGUGGGAUUUUGUAUGUACCAUAUCAAUCAGGAUCGGCUACCUCCGUGCCAGCAGCCGCGGUAAUACGGAGGAUCCGAGCGUUAUCCGGUUUUAUUGGGUUUAAAGGGAGCGUGGGUGGAUUGUUAAGACAGUUGUGAAAGGUUGCGGCUCAACCUUAAAAUUGCAGUUGAAACUGGCAGUCUUGAGGACAGUAGAGGUGAGCGGAAUUCGUGGUGUAGCGGUGAAAUGCUUAGAUAUCACGAAGAACUCCGAUUGCGAAGGCAGGUCACUGGACUGCAACUGACGCUCAUGCACGAAAGCGUGGGUAUCGAACAGGAUUAGAUACCCCUGUAGUC